AUCCUUAAUCCUUAAUCCUUGUCAUUUUGUUUCACUGGAUUCGUUUCUUUAAAAAAAAAAAUAUUUUUCAUCAUCCUCAGUCUUAAAUGAUGAUAUUAUUGAAUAUCUUUGGCCUGUAGUGCAAAGAUGAUUGAUUUCUGAUGAAUAUCUUUGGCCUGUAGUGCAAAGAUGAAUGAUUUCUGAUGAAUAUCUUUGGCCCGUAGUGCAAAGAUGAACAGGUGUUUAGAUGAACAUGACCAACUGGUGAAUGUCCUUGGCCUGUAGUGCAAGGAUGAAUAUAUGAUUCCAGAUAUAUAUUGAUUGAUGUUACAGGGAUAAAAAUAUUGAUGAUGGACUGUUAAAUUCAUAGAUAUUAGUAGAUUUCAUCCUCUACGUAACUCUUCUAUGA
rnacentral:lncRNA from 1 species